UCUUGGUCAUGGAGUUGUAUGGUGGUAUUCAUCCAUCCUAAUGGAAUCUCUGCUUCUCCAUUUGCCAGAUAAAGAGGACCACGAGACCAUGGAUGGAGCUGAUCUGGUGACGUGAGCUGUUUCAUGAAAUUUUCAUGAAUGAGUGUGUAACUUGCCCCAGUAUCAACAAUGGCUUUUCCAGUCCAUGCAGCAAUGCUAACGGGAACAACCACCUGCUGAGGUAUUGUCAUCUGUGCAUUAAGGUUUGUGGAGGUAGAGGCUUUCUUGCUUUUAGUUGGAGGCUUCUGCAUUUCUGUAGCAGUAACUGAUUUGUUAGAAAACUGACCCCUUGUCUAAAGAGAUAAAUAGGGAUGUUUGCUGCUGGUAAAUUGGUGUGCAGAUGACUAAGGGGGCCGUGGAGGGAUAUAGUGUGGACACUUGACUGGAGGAUGCUGUCCUCUGCAUCUUCAACACUGAACUGGGAUUUUCUCAACAGGUUGGUUUGAUGAGGGUCUGGGUGAUGUCGGUGGAUGCUUAGGGCCCAUUCGACCUUCAUAUUGAAGCUGUUGCUCAUAAUCUUUUUCCAGUUGGUGUCCUAACUUGACUAAUUCCUCUAUAGUACUCACCCGAUUACGCAAUUGGCUGGCAAGGUAAGGCUUGAUGUUCUUAAGUAUCAUCUUAACAAUUUCACCUUCAGUUAGAUCUGCCUUCCAUCUUUUACAAAGUGCUCUGUAAGAGAACGCAAAGUCUCUAAUAUAUUCUUUCUCACUUUGAAUUUUUGUUCUGACUCGUUCAGCCAGUUCAUCAUCAUAAUCUUCCGACAAGAACGCAGAAAUGAAUGCAGCCUCAAACUCACUCCACAUGGAUAUGCUGGAACGUCUGACCUCCCACCAGUCACGAGCAGUUCCAUGUAGUACAGAAUGUGGCCAAGAUAUCUGCAUUAGUGAGGGGAUGAAGGGCCAAGAAAUCUUGACAUUUGGUUAAUUACAGUAGGGGGUCUGUGUUGUCUGAUGGUCUACCAAAAGUGGGAAAAGUUAAUUUAAUAUGAUCACUUUUUACUAUAGGUGUGGGAAGAGAGGUUGAAGAAGUUGAAGGUAUUGUUGGAGUAGACCCAGAUGGCGGAAUUGAAGUAAUGGUGGUGCUGGGAAUUUGUGGUGCCAAUUUUUGUUGUUCGUCAAUUUGAUUUUUUUAGAUCCUGAAAUCCUUUCUUCAUCUCUUUUCUCAACCCCUUUACACAUGUGGAUAACUGGUUGUUUUGAGUGACAAAUUGCUGAAAUUCUAUAGUAAUGUGAUCAUGGCUUGUUUGAAAUCUGUGUUGAACAGCUUUGAUGUCCAGCUGAACUUCUGACUGGAGUUGAUCCACCAUGAAAUGCAUUUCUGACACCAAGAUUCUUCUUGGUUGUUUGGUAGUGGUCAGCAGACUGAAGACUUGACUCUCUUGUUAUCCUCAACUUCAGGUCAGCGAGUUGAUUUUUGUUUUGGGAAGAAGUGGCUUUCAUUUCUUGGGAGUUGGUAGAACAUUGGGUAGGUCAUGCUGUGCGCUUGAAAGAGAUCCUCCUUCGGAUGAUGUGCAUAGUUGCAUGUUAUCCACUGGUGGUGCCCAGGUGAGAGUUUGCACCGGAGUGCUGCCAGCCAGAACAGGAGAAUCCAUUAGCAUACGGGACACAGGAUGCAUGGGGCUGAAUGGAAUUGGGGUGUUAUUCACUGCAGAGACACCAGGUGGAGCUACUGGUGGCAUCAGAAGUUGCACUGCUGGUGGCCAUACAGGAGUUGAGAUGUCUGGAGGUGACUCCAUUUCUAUAAAAGUGGAUGGGGAAAGAGGGGGAGUCGCCAUAUGUGUUGUGCUUGUGUGGGUGAAAGAAAUGUUGUGCAGAAUCAAUAAAUGUAGAUCAGUAAUUGUGUAUGUGUCAGUAUUUUCUUACACCAGUUUACACCAAAUAAGCGAUUUACAAUUUUUCAGAAAUGGCUAGGUAAAAUAUAAUAUCCCCCAAGACAACAAGUAGUUAACAACUCUACUUAACCAAUUAACGUCCACAGACACAGUUUGUACAAGUUCCACAAAAACUUUAAAUCUUUUACCAUAGACAAAACAGCCUGGUUAAUUAAAACAUUUCAAUUCAAGUGUUCAAUAAAUCACAAUCACUUUCAAAACUUUCACAACUCAAAUGUUCACACAAACGCACACACACACGCACACACACACACAAAAUUAAGCUUUUCCCAAUUAAUAACACUCCCGUAAUCAAAAGCACAGAAUUUCCAAAAACAGUUUUCUUUUAAGGUUAAAAAAAAAAAAAAAAAACUUAACCCUAAACAAUGUACCAUAAGGUUUCAAUAAUUCCCCAACAAAACAAUUCACAAAUAAAUGUUCAGGUCUUCAAGUUUUCAGGUUUUCAGGUCCCUGUUCGGGUGCCACUCUCGAAAAUGUUCCUUAAAAGAGUUUAUUUAUGCUAGGGCGGCCCUAGCAUAAAUAAACUCUUUUAAAGAACAUUUUCGGGCGCCAGACAAGAUUAAUCCUGUCAAAAAUUUUAAGUUAACCCAGGAUAGCCAAAAAAAAAAAAAAAAAAUACCUUUUACAAUAAUAAAAACCGUCCAAGGAAUAAUUCACAAGGGAAAUGUAUUCCAUAUUCUCCAUGAGAAAAAAACUUGUUUGAAAAAGGUCAUCAAAAAAAAAAAAAGAAAAGAAAAGAAACAGUUCAAAACUUUAUUUCAUGUCACAUGUGAAACUGAGAUACUGUAUGUGAAGAAAACCGUGUCAUUCUAUUAUUUUCCACAGUGGCAGUUUCACGUCCAAGUUCAUUUAUAAAUUAGUACGGGUUCCCGGUUUGUGUUCGUUCUCGAACCGUUCUGUGCAUUUCCACUGUUGAAAAGGUUUUUUCUGGGCCAGAACUGACUUAUUUCAUAUUUAUUGACCAGUAUCCAGAAAACUACGUUAGUAUAUCAUCAUAAACACAGCCGUUUUUGUCUUAAGUGAACAUCAACAGAUGAGAAAGAAAAC